CAGCAGUAGGGAAUCUUCCACAAUGGACGAAAGUCUGAUGGAGCAACGCCGCGUGAGUGAUGAAGGGUUUCGGCUCGUAAAACUCUGUUGUUGGAGAAGAACAGGUGUCAGAGUAACUGUUGACAUCUUGACGGUAUCCAACCAGAAAGCCACGGCUAACUACGUGCCAGCAGCCGCGGUAAUACGUAGGUGGCAAGCGUUGUCCGGAUUUAUUGGGCGUAAAGCGAGCGCAGGCGGUUUUUUAGGUCUGAUGUGAAAGCCUUCGGCUUAACCGGAGAAGUGCAUCGGAAACCGGGAGACUUGAGUGCAGAAGAGGACAGUGGAACUCCAUGUGUAGCGGUGAAAUGCGUAGAUAUAUGGAAGAACACCAGUGGCGAAGGCGGCUGUCUGGUCUGUAACUGACGCUGAGGCUCGAAAGCAUGGGUAGCGAACAGGAUUAGA
rnacentral:rRNA from 1 species